rnacentral:rRNA from 1 species
GUAAUAUAUCGGAACGUGCCCAGUCGUGGGGGAUAACGUAGCGAAAGUUACGCUAAUACCGCAUACGAUCUAUGGAUGAAAGCGGGGGACCGUAAGGCCUCGCGCGAUUGGAGCGGCCGAUAUCAGAUUAGGUAGUUGGUGGGGUAAAGGCUCACCAAGCCAACGAUCUGUAGCUGGUCUGAGAGGACGACCAGCCACACUGGAACUGAGACACGGUCCAGACUCCUACGGGAGGCAGCAGUGGGGAAUUUUGGACAAUGGACGCAAGUCUGAUCCAGCCAUUCCGCGUGCAGGAUGAAGGCCCUCGGGUUGUAAACUGCUUUUGUACGGAACGAAAAGGUCUCUAUUAAUACUAGGGGCUCAUGAUGGUACCGUAAGAAUAAGCACCGGCUAACUACGUGCCAGCAGCCGCGGUAAUACGUAGGGUGCAAGCGUUAAUCGGAAUUACUGGGCGUAAAGCGUGCGCAGGCGGUUAUGUAAGACAGAGGUGAAAUCCCCGGGCUCAACCUGGGAACUGCCUUUGUGACUGCAUAGCUAGAGUACGGUAGAGGGGGAUGGAAUUCCGCGUGUAGCAGUGAAAUGCGUAGAUAUGCGGAGGAACACCGAUGGCGAAGGCAAUCCCCUGGACCUGUACUGACGCUCAUGCA